GACGAACGCUGGCGGCGUGCUUAACUCAUGCAAGUCGAACGGUAAGGCCCUUCGGGGUACACGAGUGGCGAACGGGUGAGUAACACGUGGGUGAUCUGCCCUGCACUUCGGGCUAAGCCUGGGAAACUGGGCUUAAUACCGGAUAGGACCAUGAGCUUCACGGUGUGUGGUGGAAAGAGUUUGCGGGGUGAGAUGGGUCCGCGGCCUAUCAGCUGGUUGGUGGGGUGAUGGCCUACCAAUGCGACGACGGGUAGCCGGCCUGAGAGGGUGAACGGCCACACUGGGACUGAGAUACGGCCCAGACUCCUACGUGAGGCAGCAGUGGGGAAUAUUGCACAAUGGGCGCAAGCCUGAUGCAGCGACGCCGCGUGAGGGAUGACGGCCUUCGGGUUGUAAACCUCUUUCAGUAGGGACGAAGCGCAAGUGACGGUACCUACAGAAGAAGGACCGGCCAACUACGUGCCAGCAGCCGCAGUAA
rnacentral:rRNA from 1 species